UCGUUAGUUUUAUUUGUUUUUAAUAGGUUUUUCCGCCUUUUUUUGUUGAAAACAACAAGGUAAGCGUUUAUUUCCUGCAAAUUUUUUUAUUAACAUCCUUGUUUCUUUCAGGGGCAACAGGAGCAACAACUAGCUAAGGCUACACUUCAACAGCUCCACGAUCAUCAUCAAAAGUAAGUUUCCCUUUUCAUUACUCUUUCUUUUUCUCCACUUUCCCUUUAGCAUACAGUUAGCUUGUUCUUACCUUUUCCAUGCAUUUUCUUGUUCUACUUUUUCUCACCUUCAACUCUUUCCUUACCGCACCUGCACACUCUUUUCCUUACCUCAUCUUUCAUAAGGUUAAGGUAAGAUGAUAUAAGGUAAAGGUACGUAAAGGUAAGGUUAAGGAUAGAUAACAUUAUCUUUCAUUACCCUUUUUUAAUCUGUGUUAACUUACCUUACCUUUACCUUAUCCAAUUUUCUCCUUAUCAUACCCUUUUUUCCUUACCUUACCUUUACGCUCUUUCCUUAUCUUAACCUUACCUUAUCUUACAUAAGGUUAAAGUGAGAUAAUGUAAGAUAAAGGUCAGUAAAGGUAAGUUCAAAGUAAGAUAACCUUAUCUUUCAUCACCAUUUCUUCUCUUGAUCUUACCUUACCUUACCUAUUCCUUUGUUACCCUGUCCCAUAUCACUUUGCACAUAACCAUAAUUGAAUAUUAAUAAAAAACAGGACAAAUCCA